AUUGAACGCUGGCGGCAGGCCUAACACAUGCAAGUUGAGCGGUAGAGAGGUGCUUGCAUCUCUUGAGAGCGGCGGACGGGUGAGUAAUGCCUAGGAAUCUGCCUAGUGGUGGGGGAUAACGUUCGGAAACGGACGCUAAUACCGCAUACGUCCUACGGGAGAAAGCGGGGGAUCUUCGGACCUCGCGCCAUUAGAUGAGCCUAGGUCGGAUUAGCUAGUUGGUGAGGUAAUGGCUCACCAAGGCGACGAUCCGUAACUGGUCUGAGAGGAUGAUCAGUCACACUGGAACUGAGACACGGUCCAGACUCCUACGGGAGGCAGCAGUGGGGAAUAUUGGACAAUGGGCGAAGACCUGAUCCAGCCAUGCCGCGUGUGUGAAGAAGGUCUUCGGAUUGUAAAGCACUUUAAGUUGGG
rnacentral:rRNA from 1 species